rnacentral:tRNA from 1 species
AGCGCGGUAGCUCAACGGUAGAGCCCCCGAAUCCCGGUGACGGGGCGGUUCGGAGAGAUCCGGGUUCGACCCCCGGCCGCGCAC